AUCAUGAAAUAUACGUUCAUAUAUGUAUACAUAUAUUGACUUUUCCAAAUGUUUAAUCUCAGAUGGUUAAUAACACUAACGGAUUAGAUUACAUAAGAGACAAUAUUCAUUAUAUGAUUGAUUCAAUUCAUACAUUUAACAUUAUCUGUAUUUCUUACUGGUAAGUGGGAUCAGUUCUAAUUGCAAGUUUAAUCGUCUUUUUUUACUCUUCAAGGAAAGUAAAUUUCUCGUUUAGAGAACUGAAAAAUAAUCAAUCAGGAGAAUGAUCGUCGUUUCAGUAUAUAUUAGAAAGAAAGUGACAAAGCUAAUGAUGUUAUCAAUUCAAUGAACAGGUGAAAGAUUGCAUGAUAAAAUUAAUUGGUCUUGUGAAGAUUAUAAAAAUCUUAGAUGCAAUCGUGGGAAAGAUAUAUUUUGGAAAAAUAUGUGUUUUAUUACAAAUUAUACUGCAGGAAAAUUUUCAAAGAUGAAAAAUUCUUUGAAAUUCAAUGAUAAAGUAUUUAAUUAACUAUUAAUUAACUGCUAUGGAUUUUUACUUCAAUUAGGCAGAACAUACUUUUUGGUUAUUGUAUGGAUAAAUCACAUUACGAACCAAAAUUUUAGGUCUGCCAAUUAAGGAUGAAAAUAGGAGGACAAUGCUUUGUCUAUUUAUGUUAAUAGAAAGAUCAUUGUUGAAAGAAGAAUAAAUUUGAAUGGUGGUCAACGUGCCCAUAUCUAUCUUACUACGACAAUAUCUAUGCUGCUGCAGAGACUGAAUCACUUUCGGCGAUAUACACUCGAGAAGAUAAAUAUAUUAUCGAGCAGUCCAUACAUGAAUGAAAAAUAAGACAAUAAUCUCAAUGGCCCAUCUGUUGCAAUUUCUAAAACGUGUCAAACAGAUUCAAGCAAAGCUGAUUUAAUAAUCUCAAUGCUUUUGACGUUGAUUUCACCUACUUUAUAAUGGAAAAGAACGAAGAAUCUUUUUACAAAAGGAAGAUCGAAGAAUCAAGAGAUUAAUAACUAUAAUAACAAUGGUAGGAAGCGUAAACCGAAGUAUUGAGUUCUUUGAGAUUUUUAUGUGGUAUUCGGUUAAACGAUUGGAAGGAAUAAUUCGAUUCUGGGUAACCGGUCAUGUAAAACGUUUCAAGAUUUACCGACGAUUAAAGCAUUAAACGCUGAGACGAAUUCAACAAACAAAGAAAAGAUCUUCAUUCAUCUACCUGCUUGAUCUUUAUUUGGACUUCACAAGUUUUCAGCAUUUACGUCGUAUUAGUCUGUUUAGUUUAAAACGCGAUCAUAAUUACUUCAUUUCUCAUUUGAAAGGAUAUCAUUAUUAAUGAUAUUAGAUUAAUGACCGAGUAAAUGACUAUACUCGUGGACCUGAUACGAAAGGAUGUAAGCAGACGGUCAAGGUAAAAAAUCUAAUUUCGACCUCGGUUGAAAGAAUUAUUGAAUAAAUCUAUUUAGAAGAAGAUUCAAUAUUGACUACCACUGUACUGAAAGAUUCAUAAAAUUAUAGUCUUAUCGAAAAGAUCUAAAGAUGUGAAAGUAAAGAUGGAUACAUAGAUUUGGAAGAAUAUAACGUUCACGAUCAUUUCAACAGAGAAGAUUGUUAUCGUUGUAGAUAUUGAUUGAGAGAAAAGUAUAAAAUAACAAAAAGAGAAAGGAGGGACUUGUAGAUAAGAUUAGCAUAUCGAUAUCAUGAUAAUAAUGUAACGUAAUCGUCAACGAUUGCCAUAGAUCAUAUUGAAUAGUUUUCCUUAAAGACCAGUUGUCUCUAUUAAGUGGACUAGACGUUCCACGCAUUGUGUUGAAACAUUGAAAUAAUUCAUCAUACUUGAAAUUAAUAUAACAUCUAAAUUAACAAUUUUCAGACAUAACAUUAUUAACAUGCUUUAUAGAGGGUCAAAAAUUGGAUAUUAAUAUUUUGUUGGAUAAUUAUUG